UCCUGCGACGGCAACGACGAAUGUGGUCCUGGUCUGUGCUGCUUUCGUCCCAACGUUGAUGCUGGCACAGUGUGUGGACCACUGAGUGGUGAAAGCAAACCUUGUUCGAACGUAACUCUUAAGGAAUAUUCCACUCCGGAAAAUACCAAUGAAAUCUCUUGCCGGGAAGAUGAGCAAGCGGCAGAAACAACGGAAGACGAAUACAAACCCCCUUAUGAUGGAGCGUGUCCUUGCAAAUAUGGCUUCUUUUGCAAGUUCCCUGCGGCAACAGAAAGAAGCGAGAAUCCGGAUUCAGUGCCACUUGGAACAUGUGAGGCUGUGCAAACAUUGGAAGGUAAUGACAUAUAGAGACGGGGUAAUCGACUCUCUAUGAAGACCCUUGAACCCGUAUCGUAGUUAAGCAUAUUGCAAGGCACCCUCACAAUAAACACAUAAUAAAUCAUUGCCAAGUAUU